rnacentral:rRNA from 1 species
AGUAAUGUCUGGGAAACUGCCUGAUGGAGGGGGAUAACUGCUGGAAACGGUAGCUAAUGCCGCAUAACGUCGCAAGACCAAAGAGGGGGACCUUCGGGCCUCUUGCCAUCGGAUGUGCCCAGAUGGGAUUAGCUAGUAGGUGGGGUAACGGCUCACCUAGGCGACGAUCCCUAGCUGGUCUGAGAGGAUGCCAGCCACACUGGAACUGAGACACGGUCCAG